CGUUCUUCUGGAUACUGUCCUGGUCUAUGGUCUUCAUUCCAACCCAGUGCAUUAAUUGUAUUAAUAUGAGCCUCUGGCUGGACUGGGGACUUCAGUCACCCAUCUGAAUUUGAGAGAGCAGAAGAGGAGACUCCUUGCAGGUCAAACCUGUGUCACCCGCAGGGCCAGGGUGGGAGCUCCCGGGCUCGGAGGGCGGGUCCGCUGGUUUUACCGGUAUAAUUCCCUCAACAAUGGACCGAGUCCUGAGGAAGGAGGGAAGGCAGUUGAGAGGUGAGAUUUGUGACCCAACCCUGCUCUACCCAGAAUCAGGUACGCUUCGUGCAGUAUGUCUUCUAUUGGUCCAGUGGUGGGAAGCACCCUGUGGUUUUGGGCUGGCCAAACCCUGAACCAUCAGCAGCACAAAUACAUAAUGUUGGACUGAGGGGGAUGUGCUUCUCAGGACUGCUGCAGGGAAGCUGUCUGAGAGUUCCAGGUCUGUCAUUUUGGCCCUUGGAGCUAAUGCAAAUGAGCAUUUUGCUCAAGUCAUGUCCUAUUGGCCAUAUUGCACUACAACACUGGAUGCCUGCACAUGGCUCUCCACAAUAUGGGUUUCUAUCAUCCCCUGAAGUAAUGUUGCAAUCAAGCAAAAUGUAGGGAUAUACUAGAGAUAGAAAUUUCAUGCAGUUAUUUUGAUCAAUCAUUGGUGUCCAUUAAUUGAUUAAUAAUUAUUAACUGAUAUUUUAUUAACUUAAAAUCUGCUCUAUAACCAAUAAAUAGGCCUACUAGAUAAUGAGAUGUAUAUAUUAGAGAGGUUUUAUUAAGACACACUCAAACAAUGAUUAAAACAGGAUUUGCAUUGUGUAUUAAGGCAGUAACAGCCAGAAACAAAAUGAUAGAAACUCAGAUUGGUGCUUAUUAAUGUUUAACUUUA